rnacentral:rRNA from 1 species
CGGUGUUUAACUGGCGUGAUGUGGGACGUCCUACCGGUGGGCUUAGCCUCGCGAGGGGCGGCCCAACUAAUAUCCCGUCGCGGUGCUCUUUACUGAGUGUCGAGUCGGGCCGGUACGUUUACUUUGAACAAAUUAGAGUGCUUAAAGCAGGCUAUCCUCGCCUGAAUACUGCGUGCAUGGAAUAAUGGAAUAGGACCUCGGUUCUAUUUUGUUGGUUUUCGGAACCCCGAGGUAAUGAUUAAUAGGGACAGAUGGGGGCAUUCGUAUUGCGACGUUAGAGGUGAAAUUCUUGGAUCGUCGCAAGACGGACAGAAGCGAAAGCAUUUGCCAAAAAUGUUUUCAUUAAUCAAGAACGAAAGUUAGAGGUUCGAAGGCGAUCAGAUACCGCCCUAGUUCUAACCAUAAACGAUGCCAGCUAGCGAUCCGCCGAAGUUCCCUCCGAUGACUCGGCGGGGCAGCUUCCGGGAAACCAAAGCUUUUGGGUUCCGGGGGAAGUAUGGUUGCAAAGCUGAAACUUAAAGGAAUUGACGGAAGGGCACCACCAGGAGUGGAGCCUGCGGCUUAAUUUGACUCAACACGGGAAACCUCACCAGGCCCAGACACCGGAAGGAUUGACAGAUUGAUAGCUCUUUCUUGAUUCGGUGGGUGGUGGUGCAUGGCCGUUCUUAGUUGGUGGAGCGAUUUGUCUGGUUAAUUCCGAUAACGAACGAGACUCUAGCCUGCUAAAUAGGCGUACCUUAUGGUAUCGCGAAGGCCCCCGGCUUCGGCCGGUGGGUUUUUACUACCAACGUACAAACAAAUCUUCUUAGAGGGACAGGCGG